rnacentral:tRNA from 1 species
UGCGGUAUAGUGUAACAGGAAACACAUAUGACUUUGAAUCAUAAGAAAACAGUUCAAAUCUGUUUACCGCUGUCAA